UUUUUUUAUUCGAGACCCACGACUUUUUACCCACGCCUUUUUACCCACGACCCACGCCUUUUUACCCACGACCCACGCCUUUUUACCCACGACCCACGCCUUUUUACCCACGACCCACGCCUUUUACCCACGACCCACGCCUUUUUACCCACGACCCACGACAUUUUACCCACGACCCACGACAUUCUACCCACGACCCACGACCCACGACUGUUAGCUAGUCCCGUUG